rnacentral:piRNA from 1 species
UGAAGAGUCUCUACAUGGAACAUGGCAGCC